rnacentral:lncRNA from 1 species
UUUUUCAUUUUUAUGUGACAGAACUCGACUUUCAUUUUCAAGCUUCCUACGUACCCUUCUAAAAAAGAGAACAAGUCAUAACAUAGUUCAAAUAUGUUUGUUUGUUUGUACAUUUUUUCUUUUUUGUUUUGUUUUGGUGUCCUAACUUUUGCUUGAGACGCCCUUUCAGGUUUUUAACUUAACAAACUUUUUUUCUUUUUUUUUUGUGUCCUAACUUUUGCUUGAGCCGCCCUUUCAGGCUUUCAACUUAACAAACAUUUUUUUUUUAUGCCGUACGCAGUUUUGACUCUUACGGGCUAGGAGCAUGUCUUCUUCUCAGGUGUAGCAUUGCUUUAAAUGUGGCAAAGCUUUCUUUAAGUCGUUAAUGGUUGCUUGCCCCCCAUUCUCGAGUGGUGGAACUUCCUUAACAUCUUUUCCCUCGACCUCUUCAAUUGUGACAUGGCAGACAGCUCGUUAGCUCAAGCAUUGACCAAUGUGUAUGAUUGUGCGUCAUUUCACCUUAAGCUGACCAUUCGAACUCACGUCUAAUGUUGAACGACAUUUCAUGCGUGAAGGGAUUAGACUACAAAUUCUAUCAUCCUUGGCUAGGUCAACGAGUCUCUUUCCUUCUAAUAUUAGUUGCUUUUCCCUAUAAGGCUCAUUUACAACUUUGAGUUUCUCCAAAGCUGACUUUCGUGGGGGAGAAUUGGUUGCGCUUUCUUGUCCAGCAAGGUUGGUCAACCUGUUAAACACAGAACCUCGAGAGGCUGGUUCAUCGAGUCGAUUGAAGACGGGAGUCCGGGCUUGACCCUUGAUUCAAUCAAACAUAAAAGUUCGUGGCUUUUAAACCUUAAACUCUUUCUUAUGUGCCGACUAUGUCAUCUUCGUGGCUGCUUUGGGACGGGUUUACUCAGUGUUGCAAUGAGAACUUUCUUUUUGUAUCUUCUUCUUUGC